rnacentral:rRNA from 1 species
GAUGAACACUGGCGCCCUGCCUAAUACAUGAUACGCGAGCGAACGGAUCUACAACUUGCUGUUCUGAAGUUACCGGCUAGAGGCUGAAGUGCAAAUGGAUUGCCUACCUAUGCUACUGCUAGAGCUUCUGAAAACCGGAGCUCCUACCAGAGAAUCUUUUGAGCCGCAUGGCUCAGAAGUGAGAUAGAGUCUUGCUGUCACUUCUCUAUGGCAUCCGCGCUGGAUUAGCGGGUUGGUGACGUAACGGCUUACCGAAGGCACGAUGCAUACCCGACCUGAUAGGGUGAUCGGCCUCACUGGAUCUGACACACCGGGCCAGACUCCUACGGGAGGCAGCACUCCGGAAUCUUCCGCGAUGCGCGAAGGCCUGACGGUAGCACACCGCGUGAGUGAUGAAGGUCUUCUGAUCGAAGAACUCUGUCAUUACGGAAGAACAUAUGUGUAAGUAACUGUGCUCAUCUUGACUGUACCUAAUCAUGAAGACACGGCUAACUACGUGCCAGCAGCUCGCGGUAACAUGUAUGUGGCCAGUGUCAUCCGGAAUUAUUGGGCGUAAACCCUCACGUACGCGGUCUUUUAAGUCUGAUGUGAAAGCCUUCGGCUUAUUCGGAGUAGUGCAUUGGAAACUGGGAGACUUGAGUGCAGAAGAGGAGAGUGGAACUCCAUGUGUAGCGGUGAAAUGCGUAGAUAUAUGGAAGAACACCAGUGGCGAAAGCGGCUCUCUGGUCUGUAACUGACGCUGAGGUUCGAAAGCGUGGGUAGCAAACAGGAUUAGAUACCCUGGUAGUCCACGCCGUAAACGAUGAAUGCUAAGUGUUGGAGGGUUUCCGCCCUUCAGUGCUGCAGCUAACGCAAUAAGCAUUCCGCCUGGGGAGUACGACCGCAAGGUUGAAACUCAAAGGAAUUGACGGGGGCCCGCACAAGCGGUGGAGCAUGUGGUUUAAUUCGAAGCAACGCGAAGAACCUUACCAGGUCUUGACAUCUUCUGACAAUCCUAGAGAUAGAGCUUUCCCCUUCGGGGGACAAAGUGACAGGUGGUGCAUGGUUGUCGUCAGCUCGUGUCGUGAGAUGUUGGGUUAAGUCCCGCAACGAGCGCAACCCUUAUUGUUAGUUGCCAUCAUUAAGUUGGGCACUCUAACAAGACUGCCGGUGACAAACCGGAGGAAGGUGGGGACGACGUCAAAUCAUCAUGCCCCUUAUGACCUGGACUACGCACGUGCUCCAAUGGACAAUUCAACGAGUCGCAAGACCGCGAGGUCAAGCAAAUCCUCAUAAAGUCGUUCUCCGUUCGGAUUGUAGUGGGCAACUUCACUCCCUGAAGGCGGAAUUGGUUGUGUAUCGUAGAUCAG